rnacentral:misc_RNA from 1 species
GAUGAAGAACGUAGCGAAAUGCGAUACUUGGUGUGAAUUGCAGAAUCCCGUGAACCAUCGAGUCUUUGAACGCAAGUUGCGCCCGAAGCCACUAGGCCGAGGGCACGCCUGCCUGGGCGUCACACGCCGUUGCCCCCCCAUCUACUCCUUCGGGAUUGCGGGGGGCGGAUGAUGGCCUCCCGUGCGCCUAGCCGCGCGGUUGGCAUAAAUACCAAGUCCUCGGCGACGCACGCCACGACAAUCGGUGGUUGCGAAACCUCGGUUGCCCGUCGUGUGCGUUCGUCGCGCAUCGAGGGCUCGAAAAAAUGCUCGGCUCCGGCUGGGCUUUCAACGCGACCCCAGGUCAGGCGGGGUUACCCGCUGAAUUUAAGCAUCUCAAUAAGCGGAGGA